AGAGUUGAUCAUGGCUCAGGACGAACGCUGGCGGCAUGCCUAAUACACGCAAGUCGAGCGAACAGAUGAAGUGCUUGCACUUCUGACGUUAGCGGCGAACGGGUGAGUAACACGUAAGGAAUCUACCUAUAAGCGGGGGAUAACAUUCGGAAACGGGUGCUAAUACCGCAUAAUAUCUUCUUCCGCAUGGAAGGAGAUUGAAAGACGGCUCUGCUGUCACUUAUAGAUGACCUUGCGGUGCAUUAGUUAGUUGGUGGGGUAACGGCCUACCAAGACGAUGAUGCAUAGCCGACCUGAGAGGGUGAUCGGCCACAUUGGGACUGAGACACGGCCCAAACUCCUACGGGAGGCAGCAGUAGGGAAUCUUCCGCAAUGGGCGAAAGCCUGACGGAGCAAUGCCGCGUGAGUGAAGAAGGCCUUCGGGUCGUAAAACUCUGUUAUAAGAGAAGAACAAAUUGUAGAGUAACUGCUACAGUCUUGACGGUAUCUUAUCAGAAAGCCACGGCUAACUACGUGCCAGCAGCCGCGGUAAUACGUAGGUGGCAAGCGUUGUCCGGAUUUAUUGGGCGUAAAGGGAGCGCAGGUGGUUUCUUAAGUCUGAUGUGAAAGCCCACGGCUUAACCGUGGAGGGUCAUUGGAAACUGGGAAACUUGAGUACAGAAGAGGAAUGUGGAACUCCAUGUGUAGCGGUGGAAUGCGUAGAUAUAUGGAAGAACGCCAGUGGCGAAGGCGACAUUCUGGUCUGUUACUGACACUGAGGCUCGAAAGCGUGGGGAGCAAACAGGAUUAGAUACCCUGGUAGUCC
rnacentral:rRNA from 1 species